CAAAGAGAGGGUUUGGGGUUUAAGGCAAAAGUUCCUGUUCAAGAUCUCAAUCAGGUCUGUUUCUGCAAAUGAAGGCUUGAAACAUUUACUUUUGAUUGGUUGGCACAGCUGAGUUCUGAUUGGUUGAUAUAGCUGAGCCUUCAUGACUGUGCCAGGUGACCUCUUAUUUGUUGUUUUCCAAGCUGGAAAUCAGAAGUCUCCAUCACGUGUUUCAAACUGGGGAAUGGAAGGGGGUAUUUCUGGAAGUUUAUUUUGACACCUAAAACUGCAAUCGAUUUGGCUUGAUUGUGUAAAGGGAGGUCUUGUGAUAGUUUCACACCUUUCCGAGAACACAGAGUCCAGUGACUGCUCCUUCACCCCGCCAUGACCAUCUGCUUCUGGUUUAACUUCUAGCAGCUCAGUUUGCCGUGGGGAAUCCAUUUUGUCUGUCGGCCAGGAACAUACUUUACCAGAGGGGAGCAGAGCCUCCAUUCCAAUGGUGAAUAGCAGUGUGAAGUUGUUUUGGUAAAAGGAAGAAGAAGAAGAAGAGAAAAAUUAUGGAUAUGAGGGCAAUCUAAGAGCAACAUCUAUCAACCAUUUGAUUGCCAGGGUUGGUGCAGCAGAUCUGGUUGACUAGACAGGUGUUCCCUUCCUUCCUCACCACUCCAUAUGCGUUCCUUCCAAAGCUGUGUGCUCGGUAAAAGAGGAUGACCAUCCGCGAUGGAGAAGGACCCAUCUUCAGUCAAGGGCACGUGAGUAGAUGGGCUUCCCUGCUAGAACUUCCAAACAAGCUCUCAAGAAGAGAAAAAUCAAUCACAUGAUAUUAUUCUUCACCUCUCUUGUUUAUUAUUUAUUGAUUUAUUUUGUUGCUAUUGUUGAAUAGUUCAUAUAGAGUAAGUCUGGAGAAAAAUAAAUUAAACGGUAAGGACAAUUCAGUGAUUAUCCAAUUGAACAGCUGUAUGUGAAAUAACAUCAUUAUUGGUAUUACUUUAUUACUUUUAGGGUUUGAAUUCUUGUGUUCAAGUGUAGUUCUUUCAGAUAUUGUUGCUGUAUUAUCAUCUCUAAAUUUGUAAGUUGUUUCUUAUUUCACAGGGACAUAAAGACUGGAAACAAGCUUCAUUGCCAUUGGGGUUCAGUUGUAUCUAAGUGAUAAGAGAAAAUUUCUUGGUGUUGUAGAAGAGCAGAAGCCAUUGUUCUCAUGCCAUGGCUGAGGAUAAAUGUGUGGGCUUUGACAAAUGGCAGACAUGGGUUUUUGCCCAUUGAUUUUGGAGAUCUUCCUGAGAAUCAUCUUCUUAGGUGUGGUAGGCAACUAAAAUAAUUGUUAAUGGCUUCCUGAGAUUCCUUCACUUAAAAAUAUCUUGAAAGCAGCUUUUCUGACUGUCAUUUUGCCACCUCUCAGCAGUUUUAUUGGCCACUAGUUCUGUGUCUUAAACCUCUUUACAUGUAAAAUACUUAAGAGUGCUUUCAGUUUUAAUGUCUAAACUCUUAUCUAUUCAGUAGUGGAUAUUUGCCACUCUCUUCUAGUAAAUAUCUGGUUUUCAAAUAGAUUAUAUGGUUAUGUGAGAAAAAUCCCAGAAUUAAAAAAAAAAUCAGUCCUAUUAAAUUAACCACAUACCUCCAUCACACCCAAAGUUCUUGCUGCUUUUCCUCAUUCUUUCAAAAAAAUUUUUUAUGGUUUCAAAACUCCAUGCUGAUAGUUUUUAUCUUUUGUAAUGAUAUAAAUCAAGAAAAUAUGUCAG
rnacentral:lncRNA from 10 species